GGCAGAGCCCGCCCGCCCCAUCGGGAUUGAGCCGGGAGCCGCCGUGGGGACGGCACCGAAGCACGAUGCGGGCACCGCUGCUGCUGCCGCUGCUGCUGCUCGGUGUCAGCUCUCAGGAUGAUGCACAGACAUCUCCUCCAAGCACAGGAGCACCUGGGUCCAUCAUCACUACAGUCACCACGAAGGCACAAGAGACCACCCCUGCAAGCUCACCAUCCACCUCUACACCAGCACCCACCCCAGCUCAAGACACCACCACUACAAGCAAGCCAGGAAACCCAACACACGCCUCUGUGAUAUCACCCACCACAGUUUCAUCAACCACCCCUGUAAACAACCCAGGGAACCUAUCACCCACUCUUGCGAUGUCUCCCCCUUCAGUCCAAGGGGCUACCCCAACAAAGAACCCAGUAAACCCAUCACUCUUGCCUGCAACAUCACCACAACCAUCUCAGCAGGUCAGUUCUUCAACCAGCUCCAGAGCCUCAGCAGCCACCCCUGCUGCCACCUCCAGUAUCACACAGCAGAAGACCAGCCCUGCAGCCAGCUUGGGCAGCUCAGCACCCAUCACUACCCCAAGUCCUGUCCUCACACACAUGAGCAGCUCUGCAGCCUCCACAGGGAGUAUAGGAAGUGCUGUUGCUUCCUCUCCCGGUGUGAAAGCUCAGGGAAACCAGCUUUCAGUCCAGGGGACCACUACCACUGCAAGCACCAGGGUCCCAGGGAGCACCCCUUCCCAAGGGAUCAAGGACUAUGGGGUCACUGCUUCCACAUCUGCUACCAAGCAGCCUCACUCUUCUGCCAGUUCUCCAGGCCAGGGACUGGCCUCUUCCACCAGUCCUGGAAGCAUCAGCAUCUCUGUUCCCCCUUUUGGUGGAUCCGUGUCCCCCACCACCAGUAAAGAAUCCCUGACUUCACCAUCUGGCAGCAUGGACAAGGUCUCAGAGGCAGCCACCACACCGACUCCUGCAGCAGACCAGAGAAGUCAUCCAUCAACCAAGCCUGCAAGUGCUGACCAGAGCCCUGCCAGUGCACAACCAUCAUCCCCAUCACUGGGGGACCAGACAGCGAGCUGCAGUCCUGGCCACCAGCACCCUAAUGUUUCAUUCCAAAAUGAGGUCAUCUGUAAAGACCAAGUGCAAAAUACUUGGCCCACCAUGUACCUGAAAGAAGCUAAAACCUGUGUAAGUACCACCCUUUGGGACUCCUAUGUAAAACCCUACAGCAGCAGUGCUGCUGUUGGAGAUCAGCUUUUAACCUGUGGUACCCUAGCGUGUGAGCCUGUAGAGAC
rnacentral:lncRNA from 14 species